AACGAACGCUGGCGGCAGGCCUAACACAUGCAAGUCGAGCGCGCCCUUCGGGGUGAGCGGCGGACGGGUGAGUAACGCGUGGGAACGUGCCCUUUUCUACGGAAUAGCCUCGGGAAACUGAGAGUAAUACCGUAUACGCCCUUUGGGGGAAAGAUUUAUCGGAAAAGGAUCGGCCCGCGUUGGAUUAGGUAGUUGGUGGGGUAAUGGCCUACCAAGCCGACGAUCCAUAGCUGGUCUGAGAGGAUGAUCAGCCACACUGGGACUGAGACACGGCCCAGACUCCUACGGGAGGCAGCAGUGGGGAAUCUUAGACAAUGGGGGCAACCCUGAUCUAGCCAUGCCGCGUGAGUGAUGAAGGCCUUAGGGUUGUAAAGCUCUUUCAGCUGGGAAGAUAAUGACGGUACCAGCAGAAGAAGCCCCGGCUAACUCCGUG
rnacentral:rRNA from 1 species